rnacentral:misc_RNA from 1 species
AGCCCACUCGAGCCCUGCUCGGCGUUGGGGCGCGCGGGUCCCGCAGCGGCCCGCAGCCCCGAAGGCUAGCGGCGGCGGCCCUGGGAGCCCUCUGCGUAGUGAAACCCUCGCACCGGGAGCCCUCGGCCCGCCAGCCACGACCACUGAGCCCUAGGCUCACUAAC